rnacentral:rRNA from 1 species
GGGUCAGUAGGUUGGUCGUGCCACCGGUACGUACUGGUCUUACUGAUUCCUCCUUCCUGAAGAACCGUAAUGCCAUUAAUUUGGUGUUGCGGGGAAACAGGACUGUUACUUUGAAAAAAUUAGAGUGUUUAAAGCAAGCUAACGCUUGAAUACAUUAGCAUGGAAUAAUGAAAUAGGACGAUCGAUCCUAUUUUGUUGGUUCCUAGGAUUGACGUA